GAUGAACGCUGGCGGCGUGCCUAAUACAUGCAAGUCGAGCGAACAGACGAGGAGCUUGCUCCUUUGACGUUAGCGGCGGACGGGUGAGUAACACGUGGGUAACCUACCUAUAAGACUGGGAUAACUUCGGGAAACCGGAGCUAAUACCGGAUAAUAUUUCGAACCGCAUGGUUCGAUAGUGAAAGAUGGCUUUGCUAUCACUUAUAGAUGGACCUGCGCCGUAUUAGCUAGUUGGUAAGGUAACGGCUUACCAAGGCAACGAUACGUAGCCGACCUGAGAGGGUGAUCGGCCACACUGGAACUGAGACACGGUCCAGACUCCUACGGGAGGCAGCAGUAGGGAAUCUUCCGCAAUGGGCGAAAGCCUGACGGAGCAACGCCGCGUGAGUGAUGAAGGUCUUCGGAUCGUAAAACUCUGUUAUUAGGGAAGAACAAACGUGUAAGUAACUGUGCACGUCUUGACGGUACCUAAUCAGAAAGCCACGGCUAACUACGUGCCAGCAGCCGCGGUAAUACGUAGGUGGCAAGCGUUAUCCGGAAUUAUUGGGCGUAAAGCGCGCGUAGGCGGUUUUUUAAGUCUGAUGUGAAAGCCCACGGCUCAACCGUGGAGGGUCAUUGGAAACUGGAAAACUUGAGUGCAGAAGAGGAAAGUGGAAUUCCAUGUGUAGCGGUGAAAUGCGCAGAGAUAUGGAGGAACACCAGUGGCGAAGGCGACUUUCUGGUCUGUAACUGACGCUGAUGUGCGAAAGCGUGGGGAUCAAACAGGAUUAGAUACCCUGGUAGUCCGCGCCGUAAACGAUGAGUGCUAAGUGUUAGGGGGUUUCCGCCCCUUAGUGCUGCAGCUAGCGCAUUAAGCACUCCGCCUGGGGAGUACGACCGCAAGGUUGAAACUCAAGGGAAUUGACGGGGACCCGCACAAGCGGUGGAGCAUGUGGUUUAAUUCGAAGCAACGCGAAGAACCUUACCAAAUCUUGACAUCCUUUGACCCUUCUAGAGAUAGAAGUUUCCCCUUCGGGGGACAAAGUGACAGGUGGUGCAUGGUUGUCGUCAGCUCGUGUCGUGAGAUGUUGGGUUAAGUCCCGCAACGAGCGCAACCCUUAAGCUUAGUUGCCAUCAUUAAGUUGGGCACUCUAAGUUGACUGCCGGUGACAAACCGGAGGAAGGUGGGGAUGACGUCAAAUCAUCAUGCCCCUUAUGAUUUGGGCUACACACGUGCUACAAUGGACAAUACAAAGGGCAGCGAAACCGCGAGGUCAAGCAAAUCCCAUAAAGUUGUUCUCAGUUCGGAUUGUAGUCUGCAACUCGACUACAUGAAGCUGGAAUCGCUAGUAAUCGUAGAUCAGCAUGCUACGGUGAAUACGUUCCCGGGUCU
rnacentral:rRNA from 1 species